GAUGAACGCUGGCGGCGUGCCUAAUACAUGCAAGUCGAGCGAACAGACGAGGAGCUUGCUCCUCUGACGUUAGCGGCGGACGGGUGAGUAACACGUGGAUAACCUACCUAUAAGACUGGGAUAACUUCGGGAAACCGGAGCUAAUACCGGAUAAUAUAUUGAACCGCAUGGUUCAAUAGUGAAAGACGGUUUUGCUGUCACUAAUAGAUGGAUCCGCGCCGCAUUAGCUAGUUGGUAAGGUAACGGCUUACCAAGGCAACGAUGCGUAGCCGACCUGAGAGGGUGAUCGGCCACACUGGAACUGAGACACGGUCCAGACUCCUACGGGAGGCAGCAGUAGGGAAUCUUCCGCAAUGGGCGAAAGCCUGACGGAGCAACGCCGCGUGAGUGAUGAAGGUCUUCGGAUCGUAAAACUCUGUUAUUAGGGAAGAACAAAUGUGUAAGUAACUAUGCCCGUAUUGACGGUACCUAAUCAGAAAGCCACGGCUAACUACGUG
rnacentral:rRNA from 1 species